UAACGGUCCUAAGGUAGCGAAAUUCCUUGUCAGGUAAGUUCUGACCCGCACGAAAAGUGUAAUGAUCUGGGAACUGUCUCAACCAUAGACUCGGUGAAAUCUUAAUACCUGUGAAAAUGCAGGUUACCCGCGACAGGACGGAAAGACCCCAUGGAGCUUUACUGUAGCUUGAUAUUGGAUCUCGAUGUGUUAUGUAGAGGAUAGGUGGGAGACUAUGAUGUUAGGACGCUAGUUCUAACGGAGUCAACCUUGGAAUACCACCCUUAGCAUGUUGAGAUUCUAACCUCGACCCAUUAUCUGGGUCAGGGACAGUGUCUGGUGGGCAGUUUGACUGGGGCGGUCGCCUCCCAAAAAGUAACGGAGGCGCUCAAAGGUUCCCUCAGAAUGGUUGGAAAUCAUUCGAAGAGCGUAAUGGUAUAAGGGAGCUUUACUGCGAGACCUACAAGUCAAGCAGUUACGAAAGUAGGACAUAGUGGGCCGGCGAUUCAGAAUGGAAUGGUCGUCGCUUAACGGAUAAAAGUUACCCUGGGGAUAACAGGCUGAUACCACCCAAUAGUUCACAUAGACGGUGGUGAUUGGCACCUCGAUGUCGGCUCGUCACAUCCUGGAGCUGGAUUCGGUUCCAAGGGUUGGGCUGUUCGCCCAUUAAAGUGGCACGCGAGCUGGGUUCAGAACGUCGUGAGACAGUUCGGUCCCUAUCCGUCGUGGGCGCAGGAAAAUUGAGAAGAGCUAUCCUUAGUACGAGAGGACCGGGAUGGACAUACCUCUGGUGUAUCUGUUGUAACGCCAGUUGCAGUGCAGAGUAGCUAUGUAUGGAAUCGAUAACCGCUGAAAGCAUCUAAGCGGGAAGCGAACUUCAAGAUGAAUUUUCCCAUAUUUUUAUAAUAGUAAGAUCCCUGAAAGACUAUCAGGUUGAUAGGCUGGAGAUGGAAGUGUAGUGAUACAUUGAGUUGACCAGUACUAAUAGAUCGAGGAUUUAACCAU
rnacentral:rRNA from 1 species